UGCGCCUCCUCGCUCAGCCGGCCGCCCGCAUGGCGCUGCGCAGCUUCUGCAGCGCUGAUGGCUCCGAUCCACUCUGGGUAAGGUGGUGGGCCGCGGGGGACGGCGCGGGGGCGACCGGGGACUCGGAGGACGUGGGGGGACGCUGGGACGCGCGGACCCAGCUGCUCCCCUAGCCGGAGCCCUGCUCUGCUUACGCGGGGAUUCGCCACCCGGGCCCCGGCGUAGCCGCCGCUCUCUUACUCUGGGGACCGGGUUCCGGGAGAGCUGGGUGUGUGCGGGGAGGUGCCUCUGUGCUUUGGGGUUCUGCCAUCGGGAAGGGACGCCAGAUCUGGAGGCAGCAAAUUGGGGAUUUUCUGUGUUUUGUGGGGGUAGGAUCUCCGUUUACCGCGCACACACUAUCAUAGAGCACCGUGCAGGAGCCCAGACUCUAGAAAGGGACUUCCCAUCGCUUGUGUUGGGGUUCCCCACUGUUUGUUUUACCUCUCGUUUACUCUGGCUUCAUGUUUUUUUUUCUCAUCCUCUCUCCUUUCUGCCUAAAUGCUAUCAGGGAACUUUAAGGAAAUAAGGAAAAGCCAAGAGAGGGGAGAAGGGCCUUUCUGUCUCUUUUUGUAGGUUUGGGGUGCAGUGGAAAAUGCCCUGGACUCUGUAACCAGGAGAGUGCCUUCUACUCUGAGUCAGAGAGACUCCGCUGCUCUGGGGAUGUCCCGGGGACUUCAGGCCCUCUCCAGGUAGCUUUCUUGUGAAAUGAUCCUAGGCUGGGUUCCCUGGCUGACUGCUCUAAUCUCCAGUGCUUGUGUAUUUCGUGUUCCUGUAAUGCUGUUCCUGUAAUGCGAUUUGCCUGUUAUUCCAGAACACUCCUGCAUCACAUUGUCCUGAUUAUUAGUGACUACAAUAGGAAACCCUGGACACAAUGACUUUUCUUUUUGUUUGAGAAACAAGAAAAACAUCCCUGUUUCUUAGCAGCUGAUGGUUAGCGCCCACAAGUAUUUGUUCUGUUUUGUGGUACCUCCGUGAUAGACUGCAUUAGGAAUGAUGACCCCUGAAGGCCCCCUGGGAGACUUUUGGGUGAGGAGGGUGCCAAUUUUGGUUGAGAAACUUACCAUACUUGGAUAAAUGGUUCAUUUUAAAGCCAAGAGGUUGGAGGUUUCUCCAGAGCUGGAAACAGAGCUUGUGAUUUACAUUCGGGAGUCUGCAAGAGAUAGGUGCCUGUUUGCCACACAGGAACACUGUGUGUCCUCUACCCUUGUGCCAAGUGUAGAGACAACGAGGUUAUUUUGCAAGAACUCAGGGGGAUCUGGGUCACUAACAUGGGUGCUGGAGUAUUUCCUGAAUUUCUUUUUUCUCUUAUGGUGGAGGGGAAGUAGACAUUAGAUUUUCUACCAGUUUGCAUAUUUUAUUUUUGCAUAUAUAUAACACACACAUACAUAUAUUGUGUGUGUGUGUAUGUUUGAGUGUAUGCAUACCAUGGCACAUGCGCACAUCAGACUUGUGUGGAACUCUCUUUCCACAGUGUGGGUUCUGAGGUCCUCAAGCCUCUCACCAGUUCACAUCUGGAUGUAUCCUAUUGUUGCGCAGUGAUGACUAGGAAAUGUUGGGAGGUAUUCUCUAGCUUCUAAUAUGCUAAAAAGCCUACCCAAGAAGCCUGACUUGGUGUUCUUUCCUUCUUGGAACUUUUUGCCACAGAAAAUGAAGAUGGAUGGAUUGUGUUUGGCAGUAGUGGUGGCUGGCCUUCCCCUUAGGCAGCUUCCCAUCCUCCCUUAAGUCUCAUCUUGCAGAUUUCCUUUCGGCCCCUCUUCUCUCUCACUGGUCUAGGCUUGAUGGACACCCUGUUUCUGGAGUCCUGGAAUCAGAAUGGGUGAGAGGGCCACUGGCAAGCAAGAACUUAUGUGUAGCUAGAGAAUCCAAACACAAAACAGAGUGGGUUGGUUGGCCUGGUGUGCACCUAUCUGUAAUCACACCAUUGGGAAAGCUGAGGCAGGAGAAGUGAAAUUCAGGCCAGCUGUGCUAGAGCAAGACUGCUUCAAAGAACAAUAAACUAAAGUAGGUGGCUUUGCACCAGCAUAUCUAUACCGCUGCCACACCCUGCCAUUCUAGACCUCACCAUCUUGAGUUGUUUCAUUGUUUACUGUGCUCAGUUUCUAUAGAACAGCCCUUCUGGGCUGCGGCCAUGGUCUUAUCAGUGUUCGUGGUCUAGCCUUCUCUCAUGUAUUGUAUUGUAUCCCAACUGCAGCUUCCCCUCCCUCCUCCCCUCCUUGUUCCUCCCUUCACAUCCCCAUCUUCCCCAGAUCUGCUCCUGUUUCCCUUCAGAUGGGAGCAGAUGCAGAGACCUACAACCAAAUAUUAGGUGGGACUUGAGGAACCACAGAAGAUGGGGAGGAAGGAUUGUAGAAGCCCGGUGUGAGGACACCAGGCGAGCACAGCCCACAGAAUCAGCGAAGCAGGGCUUGUAAGGACUCCCGGAGAUCGAUGGGAGUGGGCUGCUGUCCUUUUGCUACUGGUACUUGGAUCCUUUUAGGACCAACAUUAUGCUUAGAGAAGUCAAGAUUCCAGCCGUCAGGAACCCUCUCGGAGUCUUGCUCCUGGGCUAGCUCGGGUCUACUGCUGAGAACUUACAACCUUCCCUUGUGCAAAGGUCUAGGAUGAGAACAGAGAAACAAUGUUAUGUAAGUGGAAAGCUGAGCUAAGAGCUGGCAGGGGCUUGCUUUAUUCAGUGGGAGUGUGGAGCUGGUAGGAAGUCCGUGGUUUUGUGGCUGAUCUUUGAGAGAAGGUUGGGAAAAGGGACUUGGGCCUUUCUUUGUAAGUU
rnacentral:lncRNA from 1 species